rnacentral:misc_RNA from 1 species
GAUGAAGAACGUAGCGAAAUGCGAUACUUGGUGUGAAUUGCAGAAUCCCGUGAACCAUCGAGUCUUUGAACGCAAGUUGCGCCCGAAGCCAUUAGGCCGAGGGCACGCCUGCCUGGGCGUCACACGUCGUUGCCCCCCCAUCUACUCCUUCGGGAUUGCGGGGGGCGGAUGAUGGCCUCCCGUGCGCCUUGUCGCGCGGUUGGCAUAAAUACCAAGUCCUCGGCGACGCACGCCACGACAAUCGGUGGUUGCGAAACCUCGGUUGCCUGUCGUGUGCGGUCGUCGCGCAUCGAGGGCUCGAAAAAAUUGCCGGGCUCCGGCUCGGCUUUCAACGCGACCCCAGGUCAGGCGGGGUUACCCGCUGAAUUUAAGCAUAUCAAUAAGCGGAGGA